AGAACGAACGCUGGCGGCAGGCUUAACACGUGCAAGUCGAACGCUCGUAGCAAUACGGGAGUGGCAGACGGGUGAGUAACGCGUGGGAACAUACCCUCUGGUUCGGAAUAGCUCAGGGAAACUUGGAUUAAUACCGGAUACGGCUGAGAGGCGAAAGAUUUAUCGCCGGAGGAUUGGCCCGCGUUCGAUUAGCUUGUUGGUGAGGUAACGGCUCACCAAGGCGAUGAUCGAUAGCUGGUCUGAGAGGAUGAUCAGCCACAUUGGGACUGAGACACGGCCCAAACUCUUACGGGAGGCAGCAGUGGGAAUAUUGGACAAUGGGCGCAAGCCUGAUCCAGCCAUGCCGCGUGAGUGAUGACGGCCUUAGGGUUGUAAAGCUCUUUCGCUCGGGACGAUAAUGACGGUACGAGAUAAGAACGCCCGGCUAACUUCGCGCCAGCAGCCGC
rnacentral:rRNA from 1 species